AACGAACGCUGGCGGCAGGCCUAACACAUGCAAGUCGAGCGAAGCCUUCGGGCUUAGCGGCGGACGGGUGAGUAACGCGUGGGAACGUGCCCUUUGGUACGGAAUAGCCCCGGGAAACUGGGAGUAAUACCGUAUGUGGUCGAGAGACGAAAGAUUUAUCGCCAAAGGAUCGGCCCGCGUUGGAUUAGGUAGUUGGUGGGGUAAUGGCCUACCAAGCCGACGAUCCAUAGCUGGUUUGAGAGGAUGAUCAGCCACACUGGGACUGAGACACGGCCCAGACUCCUACGGGAGGCAGCAGUGGGGAAUCUUGGACAAUGGGGGAAACCCUGAUCCAGCCAUGCCGCGUGAUCGAUGAAGGCCUUAGGGUUGUAAAGAUCUUUCAGCUGGGAAGAUAAUGACUGAACCAGCAGAAGGAGCCCCGGCUAACUCCGUGCCAGCCGCCGCCGAAAUAC
rnacentral:rRNA from 1 species